GUUCGGUCAGAGCAGGCGACGGCGCUGGUGAGGUUGUCGAUGGUGGCUAUGAUGGAGAGGACGAACGGAGGAAGAUGGCGGCAAUUCAAGUGGCGACUGGCUUUACUGUUUAGCCGGUGGAGCCGACUGGUCUGCUGGCGGUUGAUUCACCGCAGCUGGCAGCAACUGGUUCCAUUGGAGUUUUGGUGGUGGGCGUUGGUUUGGCUGAGAAUGAUGGUUCGCCGGUCGGUAGUGGUUUCUUGAAUGAUGCUUCACCGAUCAUUACAUUUGGUAAAGCGACAACGACAAAAGGCAACACCAAUUUCACGGUUGGACUGACCAUUUUGGUAGAGCGGCAGCAUCGAUGGAGAGAAGAAAGUGGGACGACAGUGGCUGAUUUAUCAAAGGCGAAAGAGGGAAACCGACGAAUGAAGGGAUGAUUCGCCGUAAUGGACGCCAGAGAAUAUGGUGGUGGUGGCGGUUCGAGUGUUUUUUUUUAGAGAGAAUAUGGAGAGAGAGAGACAGGAAGUUAGGCGGGUUAUUUUUUAUGAGAAUGAAUUAGGAUUAGGUGUUUUGAACUAAGAAGGAAAAAGGAGAAGGGUUUGAUCUCAGCCGUUGGAUCAAUUAGGAUUAACGGUUGAGAUUAAAACCCUUUAAAAAGAGGUCAUGCAAAAAUUAAUUUGAAAUUAAAAUGUCAUUAAUUAGGCUAAAAUUGGUAUUAAUUGAAUACCAAUUGGCUAGAAUUGUAAUAAAUUGAGUAAAAUUGGAUAGAAAAUGGCAAAAAGAUAAAUGAAUUAUGCAAGGUGAUUUCAAAUUAGGUUGUUAUUUAAAUAAUAGUAGGGAUAAUAAUAAUAAUAAAAAAUAAAAAAUAAUGACAAUAUAUAUUAAUAAUAGAUAAUAAUAAUAAUAAUAAUAAUAAUAAUAAUAAUGCAACACUAGACAAUGUAUUUGCAAAAUGUGAGUGCACAAUUACGUGAAAAAAUAAUUUAAUAAAUAUUAAUAAAAUUGCAUAAAAUGUCAUAUUUGAAUUUAAAAAAUAUAAAAAAUGAUACUAAAGGAUAACAAAAUAAUUUAUGCAUUUUUUUAAAUUAUGAAUGUGACAUGUCAGUAUGUAUUUAAUGUAAGAAUAAUGUGUAAAAAUAUUAAAAGUAAUAUCGGGGGGUCAAAAUUGGGUGUCAACAGCUGCUCCUUCGUUGCUUGAGAAUAAUAAAAGAAUUGUCAAGCAACAAAAGUUGACGUAUUAGCCAAUUUUGUCCGACGGAUGAAGACGCAUUUGUGUUAAAGUGACAGGAGGUGGUUUUAAAAAUAGUGUGGCCGAGACUUCAGUUUUCAGUCGUCUACAUAUCUCUGGUCUUACGAGAAUCAGGUCGUUUGUAGUCCUAGAUUUAGGAAUGAACAAUAUUCCUAAAGAAUGUCAUUGAUAAAGAAUGGGGCAUCAAAAAUGAUAUUGAGGGUCGACAAGAUAGGGUGAAUAUGAUAAAAUGACGUGAGAGAGGGUGUGAAAAUGAAAGGUGUGUGAGUUAUGAGUUCAAGCUUAUGCGGUGGAUGGGUAAGUAGGUGAUACUUCGAAAACAGGAACAAAAAUUAUCUCUAUUUGUUAGUCUUUCUCUAUUACUUGCGUCUUUACGUGAUACUAAAUAACAAAGGUUAGACAUGUAAUAAAUAAACAAUUAGUAAACAUAAAGUGAAUGUGGAAACAGAGAAAGCAUAUCUAUUGUAUCGUGGAAUCGCGGGAUCAGCUUUUUGGCUUCACAUCGUGGGAUCAGCUUUUGGGCAUCUCGAUGCAUUGUGAAAUCGUGUGAUCAAUUGUUUGGAUUCUCAUCGUGGGAUCAGCUACUGCGCUUCUCGAUGCACUGUGGAAUCGUGUGAUUAGUUGUUUGGCUUCUCAUCGUGGGAUCAGUUUUUGAGCUUCUCGAUGCAUUGUGAUAUCGUGUGAUCAGCUGUUUGGCUUCUCGUUGUAGGAUCAUUUUUUGGGCUUCUCGAUGCAUUGUGAAAUCGUGUGAUUAGUUGUUUGGCUACUUAUCGUGCAAUCAGAUUUUGGGCUUCUCGAUGCAUUGUGAAAUUGUGUGAUCAGCUGUUUGACUAUUCAUUGUGGGAUCGGCUGUUUGGCUUUUCGUGAUGGAGUAAUUUGUACCUGUUGGUCCUGCCACUUUUAACUCAACUAGAUAAAAAUGGUUAGCACAGAUAUAUGUAUAUGUAAAGAAGAUUGAACAAUGUAGUGAAAACAACCAUUACAAUAAUGAUAAGAAGAGACAAGAAAGCGUAUCUAUUGUACUGUCGGAUUAACCAUUGGGUCUUCUCAUCAUGAUGUUGGACUGGCCGUUAGGCCUCUCGUGAUAGAGUGAUUGUUGUCAUAUAUACCUGUUAAUCUUGUACUCAAAGAAAAGUCGUCAGUCAAAAAGAAAUGUGGAUUUGUACCAUGCUCGAUUCCUCGGUCGUCAUUUUCUACUCCAUGAACCAUUGAAAUUUAUACUCCGUUGUGAUGAAAUUUUUGAAGAAUUCUCAAAAAUUUCUGCCCCAGUUUAAAAUGUAAAGCGCCUUUCGCACGCCAUUGUAAAUAUAUUAUUUACUCGUGAAAUUUUUGAGGAAUUCUCAAAAAUUUCUGCCCCAGUUUAGAAUGAAAGACGCCUUUUGCACGUCAUUGUGAAUUGAUAUAUUUUUUAAUUGUGAAAUUUUUGAGGUUUUCUUGAAACCUCAAAAUUUUUGCCCCAGUUUUUGUCUUUGGAAUCUUAUAUUCCUGCACCACUCAAAGAAAAUAUUAGUCUAAGAGAAAUGGUUGUCCUACAUUUGAAUAUCGUAACCUCAAUUGUAAUAUACCUUUAUAUGCUCAAGAGUUGGAUUAAUUAGCUUGAUGAUUUGGAAGUGUAGGAAUGUGAAAGAGAGUGGGGAAAAGUAUUUUAUUAGAUAAAGAUUAGACCCAGAGUGGGCUGCCUACGUAUCCAAAUGGAUGUCAGGUCGAACGUAGUUCAUAAGUACAAAGAAAUAUAGAGAAAACAAGAACAUGUUGCUAGCCGUAAGGCGGGUAAAAUAGUGACGUGAAACAGGAACGUUAAUUCAUGUGAUGUGUUUUAUGUUUCUUUCAUGAAUGUCCAGGAUCUUGUUGGACAGAGUAAGAGUGGAUUUGAUAAGCCUUAUUUUUCGGAUAGAGUAGGAUCAGAUCUGAUGAGCCCUGUUUCGGGGACCAAAAUCAGCGUGGAUUGCAUUAUAUCGAUAACCUUGUGUUUGAGGUAUGGAAGGUGACGAAUCCUCUUCCUCUUCCAUAGGUGGGUUUCUUCAUUUUAUGUUCUAAUUUCUUUCCAAUCAAAAUUAGACUCUCAAAGUUGUGAUUGACAAGGAAGAACAUUUUCUGAAAGUAUAUUCCAUCUAGUGUCUUGAGGAAAAUUUGGAUCACUUCCUCCUCAAAUACAGAAGGACGUAUUUUGGAAGCCUCUAACCUCCAUCGAGUUGCAUAUUCCUCAAAAGAUUCAUAGGCCACUCUCUUCAUCUCGAGCAAUUCUCGGAUUGUCGGACCAGUAUUGAUGUUAAACUUGUAUUGCCUCAUAAAGUCUUGAGCCAAUUCUUCCCAAUUAUGCCAUUUGUCGAAGUUUUGUUGGUCGAACCAUGUGAGUGUCAUUCCUGACAAACUCUGAAUAAACAAUCUCAUAAGGAGAGGCUCAUUGUGCCUUAUGCCAAUUAGUCUGCCACAAUAGUCCUUCAGAUGUGUGAUUUGAUCUCCAUGCCUAUCGAAUGUGUUGAAUUUGGGGAUUUUGUAUCCUAGAGGUAAAUCAAUCCACAGAAGUAUACAUAGUUUCUCAUACCUCAAGUUGUAGAUACCCCUAGAACGUAGUUCCUCAUUCAUCCUUCUUUCUAAGUAACAAAGCCUUCACCAACGUUCAUCUGAUUUGAUCCUUUUACUUUCAGAAGUGUCAUGUGCAAAAGAGAAUUGUCGAGAAGGGGUGUGGGUAAGGCGAGGAUAAGGAGACAUAGUGUUUUGCCUUGGGUGAUGAAAAGGAGGACUGACAGCUUUUCGAAUACUAAGCAUAUUUGUCAUGUUGCAGAUUGUUACUUGAGUUCGAUAUUCAAAUGCUAGACAACCUUAAAAUUAGAUAUGUAAGGCACACAAAAUUACCUCAUAACACAUAAGUUCGAAAUAUAAUAAAUAAAAAACAAAAGGUAUUCAAGGAUGAAGACUAAGAUUUAAUAAGUGAUAUAAGCGUAAAGAUUUAAGCUCCUGACGCACGAAACAGGACAGUGACAGGAUAUGAUAUCGAUUUUGCAAUUGUAAUUAUAAAGAAGGUAAGAGAGAUAGGAAAUGAAUUAGGUCGACUUUUGUUGAACAUCAGAUUUGUUGAUUACAUCAUAUUGUUGAUUCAUCCAACUCCAUAUAGAAAAAUGAUAAAGCAAGGGAAAAGAAAAUUUUAUUAUGGUGAGAUCGAACCCAUUAAAUGAGUGUCAACGUAUCCACAAGAGAAUCAGGUCGAUCCUAGUUCAAAUUACAUAAGUAAGGAAGACAUAAAAAAAAGGAAAUUGCAGAAUGUAAAAGUUGAAGAAAUUUUAAAUGUUGAGAGUCUGGAGUGAAGAAUCAACAUGAUAUCCUCUAUACCAAUGUAGAACCCUCGCAAGUUGAGCCUAGUAAAUCAAUCGCCAUCACGAUUCAACUUUGUCGUCUAUCAGUGCUUGAAUUUUGUCUUUCAAAGUUCAACACUCUUCUGUGGUAUGUCCUUUCAUCCCUGAAUGAUAAGCACAUAGUUUAGAUUGAUCAAGCCAUGGUGUAUGUGUUCAUGACAAUUGUGGGAAUAGGAGUGAUAUAGCCAGUCGUCCUCAAAUCUCUCAUAAAGUUGAUCUAUGGGCUCAGCCAAGGGAGUGUACUGUCUCGGUGGAUUUUUCUGAAGCUUAUGUCAAGGUCUGGUGGAUCAAGUAGAUCGUUGAUUUGUUGGUGGACUUGGAUAAGAAAAUGGAAUGUAGUUUGAUAUUGGAGCGACAAAUAGAAGUGGGUACCAAACAGUCUACGGAAGAGGUUUUGUGAAGGAUUGUGGAUAAUAGGCUUGGACAUAAUUGGAUGUUGGAAUGAUUUCUGGAGUUGGGUACCAUAUCAGUUGAGGUUGGGGUACGUUCACUUUCGGCUUUGGGGGUUUUGAUGUCUUGUCGAUGAUUGUCUUUCCCUUGUUCUUGGAUUGUGGCUUAACUACAUCUGCCUCGACUGUGAGCUUGGUCCCAAGAGACCCACUUGCUAGUGUCACUUUCGGUGUACCACAUCAAUGUUGGACCCUUCAGUGAACCGACAAAGAGUUUUGUCUUCGAGCUAUCACUUUGUCCUGUAACCGAUAGCUUGUCAAGGUACUCAUUCAAAUAGGAAUGAGGGUUCCCUAACCCAUCAUAUAAUGGAAAGUUCCAACCAUCGAUUUUCUCCUUGUCUUCUUCCUUGAUUUGGAUGACUUGCUCAUUUUGGGUCGUUGAGAUGAUCCUACCUCAUGGUUUGGAACCUGUCCUUCCAUCUCUUUGUCCUUACUUAUAUUCGUCAACUCAAUAAGUUCUUUUAGCAAUGCAAUUGAAAACUGCCUUGGAGACAUAGGCAUAUCAUGAUCAGACGUAGGUGAAGUUGUCAAUGUCGGGGACUCCGUAGUGUGGAUGGGAGGGUUGGAGUCUGCUUCAGGUAGCGGCCCUGAAAACCUAAUGGCAUCUCAACGGAGCCUCGAAUAUCAGUCAUUAUUCCCCUAAUUAGCGCUAUUCUUCUUCUUAACCUUCUGAUGGUCGAAAUGACUCUGUUUUGAUGCAACCCCAAGCUUUCAUGCUCAGCUUCGCUAUUGAUAAAAUUGAUAAGCAUCGCUUGACUGGCCAUUUUUUAUGUUCAAGUAUAGUCAACCUUAGAAUAAGACUAACAAUUAAAAAUGAAGAGUACACAGGAAUCUAGAAUAAAUAUUCUACUCAUUUGAAAAUAAUAAGUUAUGCUCAUUCGGAGUGAAUGGAGGUCGUGAGAGCUUUAUGUAACUUAGAGGUUGUGACAGUUAGAGCACGACAUAAAUAUUGUGGUAGGAUAAUAGUAUAUAAACAUUAGGAUCAUUAGGAAGGGGAUAUCCUAAAAUAAUAAGUUGCACUAAGAGAUUGUGGAUAAGACUAAUCCUUUAUCAAAGCAAAAGUUGAGCCUAGGGAUGAUUAGUAUACUAACGGAGUAACGGAUGAGUCAGGAGAAUGAAUUGAGGGGAAGUUUUUAAAACUAGGCCCUAAGAGUGUAUGGUAGGGACCUAGCAUGACAAGAAUUUUAAGAGCAACGAGCUCUAAAGUGAGGAACACUAAAUGUAAGGAGUGACUAAGGCCAGAACGGAAACAACAAAAUAGGCAAGAUAUCAAUACAUACAUAGAAAUGCAACACAUAGCAAAUAAUUGUGAGUCCCUAUGAGGUCGUAAACCUCUUUGGACUUUGAAUGAGACUAACAUUCAACGCAUCAAGGAUGCCAAAGCAUCCUACAUUGAAUGGGACGCAUAUUUCUUAAAAAGAAAUAUAUAGCCAAGACCUAAAGAACAAGAGUGGGUUUAUGAUAUGGUUCCCUCGAGUGGACAACUCGAGAGUGGGAGAGCUUAUGAAUGUCAAUGCACCGCUGAUCGAUCGAUCCACAAGGCAUUUCCCAAAGGGUGUUUUGGGAAAGAACGUCUGUGCUACCACGCAACCAUUCGUAAAAAGAAAAUAAAGGAAGUUUCAAGUGGAGGAAAGUAUAAGCGGGAUGCCAAUUAUAUAAAGCGAUAACAUGUAGCACAUAACACAAGUAGCAUGCUAAGAAAUACACACGUAAGCAAACAUGAUAACACAUAAGCAAUAAAAAAGGAAAAAGGGAUAGACAUGGAGAAAUGUAAAUAACACAUAAAGGGAAAGGAGAAGAGACUCACGUAUAACAAUAAAUCGUGAUAUAAACAACAAGAGAAAGUAAUUACGAAAAAUAAAACAAAUAAAGUGAAGGAAUCCUACAUAAAACACAAACUCGUAAUGGUUAGAGCCUAUGAUCCCCAACAGAGUCGUCAAUCUAUCGCGCCUCAUUUUCCUCGUAGAAAGAGGGAUUCGACGUGAUCACUCUUUUUUGGGAUUAUUUUGAUGGUAGGUGUGAAGAGUCACCCACCUGAAGAAUUAAGGUGUGUUAAGGCACCGAUCUAGGCCAACUACAAACCUGUUUUGUUGUUUAGUCUUAGUUCACCAGAUAUUCGGAUAAGGGUUCAAAUUACCUCAAAAGGAAGAAAGGGUCCAGAAAGAUGGUUCCCGGCCGAAUUCAUAUUUAACGUGGAAAUUCUAUGUCAUCAAAUAAGAUCUCUUAUUUUAUUAUUAAUUUAAUGUUUAACUAAGUCAUAAAAUAAUUAAUAAACAAAACAUGUUAUUUUUUAAUUUCUAAUUAUUAAUUAUCUAAGUGAUAAAAAGCAUAUAAUAAGAUAAGCGAGGAGAAAGAAAUGACAUAAUUUGUAACAAAAGGGGACUACUUAUGUAAUAAACUUAACUACCCAAUUUAAAUAAGCAAGUGAAGUAAAUAAAAGAAUUCGCCAAAUUAAAUAAAGAAAUAUUUUGUUCUCAUUUGGAUCAGAAUCUCAACUUGUUUAAUCAUCAUUCAACCUAUGGCCAAAUUCUUAGACAAGUCAUAUGUCUUACCUUUAAUGUCGGUUGGAGAUCAUCACUUCCGAAUGACUACUCCCCCCCACCCCCACCCAGGCUAGAUGUCAAAUCUAAAGGCGUUCUAGUACAAGAAUAAAACUAACGCUUUUAGUAAUUCCUAUCGUCUCGUCCAUCAUUCAAGAGGCAUUGGACUUUGCUAUUUUAGAUUUGUGGUCUAGACAAAAUAAAACUAUGUUGCUUAGGACUCGAAACGCGUAACACAUUGGAUAUCAUGUAGCAAGUAAUGUCUCACAUUAGCCCCUUGGUUAUUAAAGAGUUGAUUAAUGUGAUUAACAUGCAAAGACAAAUAAUUACUUAUUUUUGUGUCAUUAAGUAAUUGAGAAUGAAAAAAAUUACGUUUUAACAUAUUGGCAAUUAUUCUAAUUUCAUAUUAAUAUGCAGGAAAAUAAUAUAAAAAGGAAAAUAUUUAACAUGCUGAAAUUAAUGAUUAUACGCAGAGAUGCAGUUCAGACAUGCUGAAAUUUAAUUAUUUUAUGCAGAAACGCAAUUUUAACAUGCUGAAAUUUAAUAUUAACAUACUGAAAAAUACAUUAACGCAAUUAUUUUUGAUAUGCUGAAAAAUAUGUUAAUGCGCAAGAAUUUUCUUCUAUUAAUCAUGCUACAAUUUUAACCUGGACAAGCUUAAUUCUAAUGUCAACAUGCUACAAGCAUAUUAAUAUGCAGGAAUUUAAUUGUUGACAUGCUAAAAAAUACUAACAUGCUGAAAGUAAUUUUAAUAUGUUGAAACAUAUAAUGACAUGCUUAAUGUCAAUUUAAUUUGUUGACAUGCUAAAGAUAUAUUAAUAUGUUCAAUGCAAAUUAAUAUGCUACCAUACUAAAAAUAUAUUAAUAUGCUCAAUGUCAAUUAAUAUGGUAUGUCAAUUUUAGUUAGAUCAAGAAUAAUUAAAAAAGUCGUAGAUCAAGUGUCGAAACGAUUCAUAUGUUAAUAAAUUCUAAUUUUGUGUGCCUAAAUAAUCCACGUAGCAUGUAACGCACAUAAACCUAAAUUGUGCCUACCUAUAUUAUUCAUAGAGCACAUAAAUCUCCACCCUAAAGCAAUCCCCAAUAUUUAUUAUUACAUCAAUAGUAACAUAUGUACAAUAAUAUUACAAACCAAAUAACAAGAACAUAAAACUAAAUAGAACUAAUACAAUUUAUUGUAAACACCCCAGCAACUCUUGCGAUCUCCAAAACACCACCAAUACCUGUUAGAUACAAAUCGAAAGAGCACGACAAGCGCAAAACAAACAACUCAUGAUCCUAAACCACACAUCGUUUCAAAUAGAGGAAUCCAAGAAGAUACGUGCAUAUUAAGCAAGUAUUGUUUCAAAUUAGUUCCUAUAGAUAUGUUUUCUAUAGAAGUAAAAAAAUUGCAUUGAAUGGAAACAUACUGGUGAUGAUAAAUAAUAUAAUAAGAACUAAGAAGAAGACCAAAUAGCUCAAAAUCCAGAAAGCAAAUUACCACCGAGAGGUCAGAAUUAAAGCUCCAAAAGUAAGUAUAGAAGCGAUAAAAUAAGACUGUUUCUUUUCUGUUUCUUUUCCAAAAGUUUUGUAGAAGAGAGUAUAUGUAGUCUGUUGUAACUUCUCAAAAUAAGAGAAUAGGGGUUGUUUAUAUAGUGGAGGGAUAAAUCCACCAAGCCAUAAAAAGGAAAAGAGAAUAUGUUAUGUAAUCAAUCAAUCACAAUUAUAUCAUUCAAAUAAUUUAAAAUCAGUCUAAACUAAUAAAAGGAAAAGAGGUAUCAAUCAACAGAAUAUGUGAUGUAAUCAAUCAACCAAAUUGCCUUAAAUAUGAAGAUCACACAUACUAAUAUAAUCACUCAAAACAAAUAGAAGGAAAGAAAAAUAUCAAUUAAUCUAAAUUUUCUUUUUGAACAUGCAGACUAAUUAAGGAUAAUAAUUAAGGCAAAUCAUUAUGUCACUUAAGGCUAAAAUCGUGUAAAAUUCGAUAAAAGAAAUUAAAAAAGAAAAAGCAUAUUUAGGAUAAUCAAUCAGUCAAAUUUCCUUCUAUAAGCAUGAAAAUCAAUCAAAUUCUUGCCCUGAAGUAUUAAAUUCAAAUCAAUAAUAGUGAAGGAAAGAAAACACUGCCAAGAAAUCAGUACCAAAGCUUGUCACACACUAAACAAAAAGGGAAGAAAUUUCCCCAAUGCAGAAACUAACAAGAUCAGCUAAAUACCAAGUAAACCAAUUAGAACGGGAACAAAUAUAUGAGUAAAUCGACUUCGAUCUUUACCAAUAUGAUUAAACGAUUAUGAGCAAAUAAUCAACCGAACUCGUCAUGUCACAAUGCCAGUUAACACCAAUCACAUAAUAAAUUUCUUCAAAUAAAUAUUUUCAAGUAGAGAUCAUAUUCACAGAAUAACAAACCAUGAACACGAUAUUCGACCUAAUACAUACUAGUAUCAUUACAAUAGAUUCAACAAAAUUCAAUCUAGCAAUCAAGAACACAACAAUUAAAUCAUUCAGUGCCUGAUUCAGAAAAUAGCGUCAGCUAAGCAUGAAAUCGAAAUAUUUGAAACAAAGAAAAUCAGAUCGAAGCCACCCCACGUAUUUCACAUCCACAAACAAAAUAAAGUAAAUCCAAGAACAAUCUUACCGGAGACAAAUUCAUCAUGCAAAAAAUGUUGGAAUUGAAUCCUUGACACUCUCGCGGGUUCGGUCAGAGCAAGCGAAGGCGCUAGUGAGGUUGCCGAUGGUGGCUACGAUGGAGAGGACGAACAGAGGGAGAUGGCAGCGGUUCAAGUGGCGACUGGCUUUACUAUUAUGCCGGCAGAGCCGGCUGGUCUGCUGGUGGUUGAUUCGCCGUAGCUGGCGGAGGCUGGUUCCGUUGGAGUUUUGGUGGUGAGCGUUGCGGCGAUUGGUGGCGGCGCUGGUCGCUGGUUUGGCUGAGGAUAAUGGGUCGUCGGUCGGUGGUGGUUUCUAGAACGAUGCUUCACCGGUCAUUACCUCCGGUGAAUCGACAACGACGGGAGGCAACGCCGAUUUCACGGCUGGACUGAUCAUUUUGGUGGAGCGGCGGCAUCGAUGAAGAGAAGAAAGUGGGGCGGCGGUGGCUGGUUUAUCGGAGGCGGGAGAGGGAGUCCGGCGAAUAGAGGGAUGGUUCGUCGUGAUGGACGCCGACGAAGGUGGUGGCGGCGGCGGUUUGAGUGUUUCUUUUUUUUAGAGAGAAAAUGGAGAGAGAUGAGAGGUAGAGAGAGAGGGAGUUAGGCGGCUUAGAAGAUGAAGAGAGAUGAGAGGUAGAGAGAGAAGGAGUUAGGCGGCUUAUUUUUUGUGAAAAUGAAUUAGGGUUCGGUGUUUUGAACUAAAAAGGACAGAGGAGAAGGGUUUGAUCUCAGCCGUUGGAUCAAUUUGGAUUAACGGUUGAGAUUAAAACCUUUUAAAAAGAGGUCAGGAAAAAAUUAAUGUGUAAUUAAAAUAUCAUCAAUUAGGCUAAAAUUGAUAUUAAUUGAAUACCAAUUGGCUAGAAUUAUAAUAAAUUGAGUAAAAUUGAAUAAACAAUGGCUAAAAGAUAAAUAAAUUAUGCAAGAUGAUUUCAAAUUAGGUUGUUAUUUAAAUAAUAGUAGGGAUAAUAAUAAAUAAUAAUAAAAAAUAAAAAGUAAUAAUAAUAAUAAUAAUAAUAAUAAUAAUAAUAAUGCAACACUAAAUUAUGUAUUUGCAAAAAUGUAAUUAUGAACAGUUACAAGCAUACAAAAAGUUUCGUAUUUGAGUUUAAAAAUUAUAGAAAUGAUACGUAAAAUAUAAAAAUAAUUUAUGCAUCUUUAGGUAGCCUAAAAGUAAUAUCGGGGGGUCAAAAUUGGGUGUAACAUAACUUAUGCCAGUAGUAAUAUUACUUUCUGUGGAACACUAAGUUAAAUAUGGUAUCAUACUUGGUUUAAUACUUGGAUUCAAACACUAUGUGCAUGUCAUCGAGUUCAUUUCGUUUGUUCAAUUCAGACUGAUUCUAAUGUAUUUCUGUUUUCUUUUGUUUCGUGGAACAAUCGGAGAACUGGAGUUCUCACUUUGAUUUUUUUUUAUAAGUAAAGGUCCGAAUCAGUCCUUCUAAUCUACUGUUGGAUCCUAGUGUCUCCUUUAGAACCUCGAGAUUAGUAAGACUUGAAUAAAGUUUGGGUUUUAAAAGUGUGGUGUUGGUCCAUACUAGUCAAACUACAUCCAUGAGAUUAAUCAAUAGCAAUUAUGUCAUGUUCUCAUCUUUCAUUUAAGUAUCCUCUUUGAUCAUGAGACAUUUUCUUUCAAUUGGGUGGAAAUGUAUUUGUAUAAUAUUUUCACACUUUGAAAUCUGCUUGUAGUCCUAGAUUUAUCCAACUAAGUUAAUUAGGAAUUGGUGUACGUUUGCUGGAACAUGUGUUUGAGCACUAGCAAUUUCUUGAGAUUUAGUUGUUGUUUAGGAGAAUUAUUUUGCUCUUUCUGCUGUGUACUAACCACAAUGCAUAGCACCUACUAUUUAUCUUACAUUCUCAUCUAUUGUUAACCCAGUUUUUUUCACAUAUUCGUACACAUUCAAUACGAAUGUACAUAAGCAUUCACUACACUAUAUGUGCAAUCUUUUUGUAAGUUCUUGGUCUCUAAUCGAAGCUAAUAAUCACAGUUGUGCUAUUACAAGCAGGUUAAAAAUUACCUGGAUCCCUUACCCUUCAUUUUGUGUUAAGAAAAUGUUUUACCUCCCCUUACAUUAGUUUGAUAAGUAUAUUUUUUCAUCAAUGUCUCUAAUUAUUUGAUUAAUUUUUAAUUCUUUUCUUUCUUAUUUCACAUGUACACUCAGGAGCGUAUUUGGAGUUUAAUGGGUUGACUAUAUCUUUAUCCAAAUCAGAGAAGCGACCAAUAAUCGCAUUACAUAUUUUCGUCUAACAAUCUAUGCCUCUUUCCAUCUUUUACGUUCUUGAUUGAAUUAUCUUUAAAUAUUGUAGCACAUUUAAUUGUUCCCUUUCUACCUCUUAGAUUCUAAACUUACCGUAAUCACUAGGCUUCACUAUAUGAUUUGUAUCGUUAAAGGUUAAAACUCAGUAGGUAAAAGCAUACCUUUUAGAAUAAAUGAUCAGAGUUGUAGAAUCCUUUAACGCUUCUUCAAUAUAAAAUAAUAGCUUUAUCUUUCGAACUAAAGUUAGUUUCUCAUUAGUAAGUAAUAUCGAAAUAGGUAGAAAUAUAUAUUUUGUGCUAGACGGGCUUAUUAUCGUUAAACUCGAAAAAUCAAUUUUAAUAAUUUUGGAUAUGGUAAAUCAAUUCAAUUUUUCAUCAAUUUCAAAUAUAAGAUGGUAGCUUUGUCAAACUGACUCUGCAAGACUUCUUUUUUUUUUAGGAUUUCAAAUGAUGAAAAUACAUUUUGGAUGUGAGCCGUUUCUUAAUAAAAAAUAAAUUCUCAAAUCAUUAUAAAUUCAAAUAACGAUAUUUUUAUAGCUACUAUUCAAUCCGGGUAGGAUAAUUAACCAAUUUAUUUAUAUCUAUUUUAUAAAAUUUGAAGCAAGAGUCAUUUUUACUUAGAUAAAGAAAAGUCGUGAAGCUCUUAGCAUAACUAACUUUUAAAAAUUAUUAAUUAAAAACUUUUGUAUAUCUUUUAAAAGAAAUGAUUCGAAAUAAAAAGAAUUUACAACAAUAAGGUUGCAUCAUUUUCAGAGAAAAUAUCCAAUUACUCCCCUGAAGUAUACCCAAAAGGGAUAUGACAAACAUUAACUUAAAGGGGGUCCUAUUACCCCCCCCCCCCCAAACUAAUUAAAAGUGGAAUUUUUAACCCCUUGGUGCCUAUGUAGCACACACGUGAGCCUACGCGGACACUUCAGUAUGUUGUGCCACGUAUGUGCCACAUAAGCAAUAAAGGGGUGAAAAUUUCACUUUAAAUUAGUUUAGGAGGUAAUAGGAUCCCCUUUAAGUUGAGGUGUGUCAUAGCCUUUUUGAGUAUAGUUCAGGGGGGUUAUUGGGUAUUUUCUCUAAAAAUGAUGCAACCUUAUUGUUGUAAAAAAAAUUAUUUCGAAUCAUUUCUUUUAAAAGAUAUACAAAGUUUUUAAUUAAUAAUUUUUAAAAGUUAGUUAUGACAAGAGCUUCACGACUUUUCUUUAUCUAAAUAAAAAUGACUCUUGCUUCAAAUUUUAUAAAAUAGAUAUAAAUAAGAUGGUUAAUUAUCCUACCCGGAUUGAAUAAUAGCUAUAAAAAUAUAGUUGUUUAAAUUUAUAAUGACUUGAGAAUUUAUUUUUUAUUAAGAAACGGCUCACAUCCAAAAUGUAUUUUCAUCAUUUGAAAUCCUAUGAAAAAUACAUAGUCUUUGGGGUAUAGUUCAGGAGGUUAGUUCAGAGGUUUUAUAGAAAGAUAUUUUGAUAAUUUUUGUAAAGUAGAUGAAUUUUUAAAACGUGGUUCUUCUAAAAGUUUUCUUAUCUGUUUUCUUAUAAAUAAUUAGCAUGUGUUAUCUUAUAUAUAUAUAUAGAUACAUACAUACAUACAUAUAUAUAUAUAUAUAUAUAUAGAUACAUACAUAUAUAUAUAUAUAUAUAUAUACACUUUUAUAUCUUCCUUAUAUCUUUCUUAAUAUAACAUUUGAUUUCCUCAUCUAAUCUAAGUUUGACCGGUUAAUCGUGGUUAACGGAUCCUUAAAUAUGCUUAAUCUCUUCCCUUUAGGAUAAUUAGAACUCUUGUCUAGAAUCAUUAAGUUAAGUAGACCUAAAAAAUGAAGUCUUUAGUAAUUUUAAUUACUUAAUUUAUAAUAGGAGUCCUAAUUCACCGUAGAACCAAUUAGGUGGCAACUUCUUUAAUUUACAUAAAAGUUUUCAAUAUAUUGUACCUUGGUUUAACCCGUGUUUAAACGGGAUAUAACAGAAUACGUAGAGGUUGGAAGAGGAGCUUGCCAAAAAAAGAAAGGAAAAAAAUUAUUUUGAGUUAAAUUAACACGUGUCAAAUAAAGAUUGAUGUGUGAUUAAUAUUUUCUUUGAAAAAAUUAAAGCUUAAUUAAAAGAGAUAUAAUAAUAUAAAUUCAAAAUUGUCUAAUAGAAUCCCCUCAAAGUUAGAAAGUCUUCCUAAAAAUAUGGUUCAAAUUCAAGGAGCUUAUUAUGUAUUAACUCUUAUCCAAAGUGCAACAAAAAUUUUACAACUCGUUUGAUAUGAGGUAUAAAGGAUAAAUAGUCCUCGGGAUAAAGUGAAAGAUUAUUUUAUCUCAUUGUUGGUUGAACGUAUUAAUUAAUACCGAAAUUAUUUAUCCUACUAUUUACAUCAUAGUGAUGGAAUAAGUUAUCUCAUAUCCAUAAUAGAAUAACUAAUUUUGAAAUUAAUUAUCUUGNNNNNNNNNNNNCUUUCCCAAUCAAACGACCCCUUACUUUGAUGGGUUUCCAAGUACAUAUUAAGUCAAAUAUUUGACAUAUAUAUACUACAGUUCAUAAUUUUGAGGGAGAAGUGGGGGAUUUUGUGAAUCAUACUUAUAUGAAUAGAUCUGUCAUUCAAAAGAGAUAAAUUGAAAAAAUAUUGAAGAAAGGUGAUUAGACAAGAUUUGGCAUGCCUGUAGCUUAUUAAAGACACUUUAGAUAUGAGGAUAUAUAGGUUGAUAAUUAGGAUAUAAAGUUAGUAGUUAGCUGAGCGUUAUCUAAUUUUUCUUGUUAGUAUUUUUAUUAUUACUCUCAUGUUAUCUUCCUCUUCAAAUUUUUUACUAUCUGUUGUUUCUUUUGUUUCGAUUAUCGUAUUAUUUAUUAUUACUAUUGUUCUUUUCUUCAUUGUUCCAUUCUGGAUUCUUUCUUAACAUAUUUUUUUUCAUAUCUGUUUUAAACUAUUUUACGUGAGCCGAUGAUUUAUCUAAAAACAGUUUUUUUACUUUACAAGGUAAGAGUAAAGUAUACAUACGCACCAUCCUCCCCAAAAUCUUAAUUUUAGAAUUAAGAUGAAUAUAUUAGCAUUGAAAAUAAAAGUUAUGGAAAAUAAUAAUUUUCUCCUUGUGUUAUUACGUUAUUUCUAUUUUAGUCCUUGUAAUUUUCUAUUAAGCGCAGUUGACCUUCUAUUAAGUAAUGGGUGUGAUUUUAGUCCUUCAACCAAUGGACAACAAAUAAGACUGUUAAAUAGUCCUUCAACCAACGGACAACAAAUAAAAUAAGACUGUUAAAUUACAGAGGAACAAAUUACAGAGGAACAAAUCAGAUAUUUCAUAUUAUUUUUAUUGCACACUUAAAAAGGAAAAAAGAAAAAUCCCUUUAUUUCUCCAAUCUAUGUGAUUCUCAUUGUCUUCUUCAAUCAUAUUUCCUCUCACCCAUAGUUGUACAUGAUGCAAAUAUAUUUUUAAGACAAUCUUUUUUCUUUGACUGAUUUAGAAGACAAUCUUUUUUCUUUGACUGAUUUAAGCCUAAUUUGUUUGUACUUAAUGGAGGUCUGAAUUUGAAUGAUUCAGACUUUAGACUAUUAAGUGCAUUUAUUUUUGAUUAAAAUUUUAGUUCUUAAUAUGUCUGAAUAGGUCUUAAUCAUUCAGAUCUAGAACCAAGUCUUAAUAUGUUUGAAGAGAUAUUCUGGUGUUGGAUAAUAUUCACCACUUUAUUCAUAAUCAGCAGUCACCACUACUAACCACCUCUGUCACCGCCAACACUGUCAACCACCACUAACCACCUCUACCACCACAACCACCAUCAACAACAAAUAUCACUACCAACCACUAUUGUCAACCAAUACUACACAUACUACCGCUAUUAUUCUAAUUAUAUUCACCGUCAUCGCUGCCGUCAACAGUACCACCAUCAUCAACCACUACCGAUCAAUCCCUACUACUGACCAACUCAUCUAUCAUAACUAGCACCAUUACAGCACCACUAACUACCACUAAUACAUCACAACCUCCACAAAAUCUUCGGCCGCCGCCACCAUUGUCACUAGUAACGCCACCUCUACCACCACUUCAACCACUACUAUCACUACAAUUUAUCUCUACUAACAACCAUCUCCACCAUCACAACAAACAACAUCUCCAACUAAUAUCGUCAUCCAUGAUGUAUUCAUGUUUCAGCCAACACAAUCAAUACCUUAAACUACUAACAUCACGCAACGUCACAUCACAACCACCACCAUCAAUCUCAACGAUCAUAACAGUCACUAUAAUAUCAACUAUCACAAUUAUCACCACCAACAUUUUUAAUCACUAACAUCAAUCAUUGUUACCACAACCACCAUUAUAAAUCAUCUCCACUAUUACUAAUAAAGAUAAAUAUUUUUUUUCUCAAUCAAAAAAUAAUUAUGUUGUAUUAAAUUACAUACUUUUUUAAUAUAUAAUUAAUUUUUUAUUUGAAUUGUAUUUUUUAUUUUAUUAUAUAUACAAAUAAAAAAAAUUGCACAUUCAGAUAUUAAAAAAUAAAAGAUCUUGAUUAUUCUGUUUUCAGAUCUAGAGACAACAUCUUAAUCAUUCAAAUAUAUAUUUAGAUUCAGACAUCUGAAUCUCAGAAAAAAAACAAAUCCAUCCUUAAAGAAUAUACAUAAAUUAUAAAGAAUUCAAAAAGAAAUAGACUUAAAUCAUCCACAACAAGUCUUCUUCAAUAUUGGCUUGGUUCUUCUAAACAGAAGUUUCCCCAAUUUCUUUCCCCUUCACUUUUACUGGCAGCAAUUAUUUUUUCUUCUGCAAUUUUUUUUUCUGAAGAUAACCCACUAAAAUAUAUUUUAUAAGGAAUAAUCAUGGAGUAUAACCGCACAAGAAACGUAAAUACCUAUAUUGCCUCGCUGCAAUUUAACAGAUUGUUAUUUUAUUUAGUGGAUGUUCCUUGAAGGACUAAACUCAUACGCGUUGUUUGAUUGAAGAUCAAUGCGUUUAACCAAAUAUCACGAGGACUAAAAUAAAAAUAAUGCAACACAAGGACUAAAAGUAUUGUUUCCUUUUAGUUAACUUAGUCGCAUAAGAUGAGCAUCAUUGUGCAAUUUUCAAAUCGGAAAGAUGUUUGGGUAUAAAAUUUAAUUAAUCCCAGCAUAAGAUCUUGCAACAAUAUAAGGCAUCAGUAGUAGGAGUGUGCAAAAAUCGAACCGAUCGAUAAAUUAAAUUGAUAAAAAUGCUAUUGAUUUAUUGUUAUUGGGUUAUUGGGUUAACGAUUUUUUAAUGAUUUUAUAAAAAAAAUUAUUGGGUUAUUGGUUCGGUUCAAUUUUUUUUAUUAGGUCAUUGGGUAAACCGAUAACUCAAUAAAAAAAUAUAUAUAUCUAUAAUCUAUAUCUAUAUCUAUCUAUAAUAUAUUAAAAAUGUAAAGACCUUUAGAAAAGUGAAGUGAUUUGAACUUUUUCCCUAAAUCCUUUAGACAAAAUUGUCUUUUCACUAUUUUUUUCAAUUUAUUAUUUAAUUAUUUUUAUUAUAUUAACUUGACUCCUGGGACUCCUAAAAUAUAUAGUAGGAGACAGUUAAUAUUUUUCUUUGUACAAAUCAAUUAGAAAAAUACUCUUAAAAUUUAGGACUCUAUUAAGGAAAUAUUCCUGUAAAUAUUGAGAUGCACGUUAAUUUAGAGAAGAAACUGGUUACUUAUUGAGAUGAUUGAUGCUUAUGUAACUUGAUUCGGUUGCAUGUCUAGAUUGGUGGAUGCUUAAUUUUCUAACCCUUAACUUCUUCACUAUUUUUGUCAACAUAAUAGAAUUCAACGUGUGUAUAUGUAUAUCUUCUUUGUUUUCAUUCAAGCCAAUCUUUAAUGUCAAACUUUUUGCUCAGGCAAGAAUUAUUUUCAUCAAAACUGAAGCUUUGUCAUCACUAUUGUAUUAUUUUGUUGUAGUUUACAGGUCGUAGAUGAAUUUACAGGUGGUAAAUGAAUGUCGAUCGACUUUGAGGAAUUUUUUUAGAUAAAGGUUAAGUUUAUUUGUAUUGUUUUUAUAUCUCUGUUUUGAGAAUUUUUUUUUAUGUAAAGGUAAAGUUUAGUUGUAUUACUUUAAUAUCUCUGUUGUGAUAUUAUUUUGUUAUAGUUUACAGGUGAUAUAUAGUGUCGGACGACUUUUAGGAAAUUUUUUUGUAACAGUUAAAUUUAAUUAUAUUGUUUUGAUGUCUCUAUCUUUGUAUUAUUUUGUUACAGUUUACAGGUGAUACUUGAAUGUAGAUCGACUUUGAGAAAUUUUUUUGGUAAAGGUAGGUUUAAAUAAAUAAAUUCUCCAAAAGACGUUGAAUUUAAUUAUUGUAUCCAUUUUUAUUAUUUAAACAAAUAUCUAUUUAGUGUAACUUUUGAACUUAAUAAAGUAAAAUUAAAACACAUCAUGUAGGAUUUUUGGUUGCAACUAAGAUUAGAUUUUUUUUUUUUCAUAUUAGUUACUACUAUUUUUAUUUUAUGAGUAUUUUCUUAUCGAUUAAACCGAAAACCGAACCGUUAAGGAUUAAAAACCGAUAAAUCGAAAACCGAUAAAAAUUAUCUUACUGAUUUGGUUAUUGGUUUAACAUAUUUAAAAAUUGAAAACUGAUAAACCGAACCGAUAAUAUAUAAAAUCAAACCGAACCGACCUAUGCAUGGAUAUAAACAUUACAUUCUUGUUUAUUGUGUGUAAAAACAACGAACAUGUUUACUUUUUCGUGUGUUAAAAAUGAAAGUGUCAUUUAUUUCAAAUCGAAGUUGGAAUAACGAACUAAAAUGUAAAACAAACACUUGAUUUUCUUUUUCAAAUUUUCCAAGUCUUGUCUAUUGAUGAAGAAGAUCUGCCAGGAAAAAAAUGUUUCACUCCUAGGAGAUGAUCACAAUAAGCUCAAACCACAUUAUGAAAUGGUAUAAUUUGCUGUAUAAAAGAACAUGAUGGAGAAAUCAUGUUUUCUUAUUGAGCCAAAUUCUUCUAAUUUGUUGUAUAAAUGAACAUGAUGGAGAAACCAUGUUUUCUUAUUGAGGUAAAUUCUUCAAAUCAUGUCUCCCUAAAUCUAAUUUAAAAAUAAAAAAUAAAAAAAUCUAAAAGUAACCACCAAGCUAGCUUCUUAAGGGUGUAUACCAAUUUUGGUAAGAAAAAGAAGAGAUAACUUGAACUAUCAUUUUUUUUUGCAAGUUUCACACUCCAAUUAUAGUUAGCCUAAUCAGCUUCAAGAUUGUUUUAAUCAAUAGAUGGUAAUAGUUCGAGGGGCAAUAUGGUACAUCGGGAACAACUAAUAGUUGGAUAUGAAACUAUAAUUCAGAUGUGCUUUUGAACACCAACUCAGAAAAGAAUAUGUGAAUGGAUGGAUGUGUGAACUGACAUUAUUAGUCCAAUAGUCACUGCAUAUUGAGACUACAAAAUCUUAAGGUCUUGGACCCCUCAUGAAACAACAAUUUACACCAUCCAUAUGAGAAGUAAGAUCACAGUAAGAAAUUUAGAAAGAGAAUCUCUCAAACAAAAUGAAAGAGAAGAAACAUUUCUCAAGCUGUGAUCUCUUUGAUCAGCCACUCUAAAGCAGGAUAGGCAAAGUACAACACUAGGAAAGAUGGAAGUCCAAAGAGAAUUGUGAUCAGUAAGUAGAGCGCUAGGACGGCUGCACAGGAAGGUAUUGCAAACAUAACAAGGAGAAGAAGCACGAUAACUAACGGAAACUUGGAUGUAACGCGGAUAAAGAGAUCAAGGGACUUGUGAAGAGAAGAGUGAACCCUCUGCGAUGCAGGCGUACCACUAGUAUAGUUAUGACUACUGGUGCUCGACCCUGGAGAUCCUAGACCAUGUACCCUCCUGGAAUUCAUGACAGAGGUAUUGCUCCCCAUAACUGAAGUGCACCGGAUGUACCAAUCUUGUUGAUGAUCCCUACAUAUGCCAGAUGGAGACUUCACCCGGUCACCAUUUCUGCCUUCCACCAUCCAGAGGAGGAAGAAAUUCUUGCUAGGAAAUUUGAGAUUCCCGUUGAAUGCGAACCGGAAUGUCAGCAUAUUGCACCAUGGGCAGGAAAUGAAUAAUGGAAUCUGGACCUGUUGGGUGGAGAACUUCUACGACGCUGAUUUAAGCCCCAACAGACAGUGCUUGCAAAGCGUGUGACCACACCACAAGACAUAGGGGAUGUUCUCGACAAUGUUAAAAGAUUCCCAGCAUAUUGGACAUUCAAGCCCUUCUUCCUCACUGCUGGAAUUAGAAUAGGCAUCAUCUAAGAAUUCGUAACAAGGUUGAUUGGGCUCACCACAUUCCUUCUUCUGUCCAAAGCUUGUGAUGGCAUUCGAGAUAGAUCUCCACAUAUAAGAGGCAACUUAAAAAUCGCUAUUGCCUGCAAUUACUCGAGUUUAAAGCUUGGCAUGUAUUUGUAUAUAAUACUAAGAUGAACCUGACCUUCAGGAGCAAGCCUCUUGGUAGGUACAAUCUUAAAAACUUAUUGUCAUGAAUAUACGGUAUACCAUCUUUAAGAUGAUAGCAAAAUUCAAAAAUCACAAGCAAUUAUGCAUAAAACUAAGAGCUGGAUUAUGUUUACGCUCCUCAUUACUCAUCAGUGAAGGUCUCUCAAAUAAGCAGCAAAUAAAAGUUGCACUUUAUUGUUCCACUCAUUAGUGAAACCACUCUACCCCCAUUUAAAUCCAGAUUCGCAGAUCACAGUCAUCUGCAGGUUUAAAUGAAGUAGACGAUUUGGGAUAGAUUGGCGAUUUAAAAUACAUUAAAAAACAUAACUAGAAAUCUUCAAUUCCGCCAUACUAAGAGAAUCAAUUGGUACGCCAUCAAUCACGACAUUCUUACAUAAAUUUUCCUACGAAAGAUCGUAUGUUAUAAUAUCCAUGCAAACAGCAAUUUCGAGAUAAGAACUGGUGUAUAAAAGGUUAAUUCAAAGUACAAUUUGAAAAAUAUAUCAUGAGCAGACAAUGGGGCAAAAGUAGAAAAAUGGCACAAUUUCAGAUUGUAGUUUCACAAAAAAAAAAAAAAAAAAAAAAAAAAAAGAAAGAAAGAAAGAAAGAACUGCAUAAUUUAUUUGAGGAUGUUCAGAAACUUACUUGUAUGGAAAAUGGUAUGAUUGGGAGAAGAGAGAUCAGAAGAGAAAUGGAUUCUCUCUCUCGUCUCGCCACUCUCUCUCUAUUGUUUCUGAGAGGAUUGAAACUACUGAGAGAUUUUAUCGAUCGGACAUUUAACAAGUGCGAACCUAAUUAUGCCACCAUUUUUAAAAAGUAUCAACUUAUGUUACUGAUUUAAAAAAUUAUAAAAAUUGACUGUUUACACAAAAUAAAUACAUAAUAUACUUUUUUUUCAUCUUGACACCAUUAAAAUAGAAUAUUGCACUAAAUAAUACGAAUAGUACACUUAUUAGUUUACUAUCUAUUUUUUAAUGAAUAGUGCACUAUUCAUUUUUUUUAAUGAAUAAUACAUUAAAUAAAUGUAUUAUCUAUUUAUUUUAUUAUGGAUAGUGCACUAAAAAGUACACUAUCAAUUAUUUUUAAUAUAUUGCAUUUUUUUGUGCAUUAUUUCUUUUUUCAUAUAGUUUAGUGCAUUUUUUUUAGUGCACUAUUCAUAAAAUAAAUGGAUAGUGCAUUAAAAAGGUGUACUAUCAAUUAUUUUAAUAUCUUACACUUCUUUAGUGAGAUAAAAUUUUACGUAUUUUAUUGUGAGAUUAAAUUUUAUUUUUUUUAUGAUACCAAAUUGCAACAUAACGUACAAUGUAAAAAGUUACGUAUUUGUAUGUCAAUGAAUGGUGUAAUUUUUUGUGAGAUGAAAUUUUACGUAUUUUAUUGUGAGAUUAAAUUUUAUUUUUUUUAUGAUACCAAAUUGCAACAUAACGUACAAUGUAAAAAGUUACGUAUUUGUAUGUCAAUGAAUGGUGUAAUUUUUUGUGAGAUGAAAUUUUACGUAUUUUAUUUUGAAAUAAUCUUAUAACUCAUUACAAAUAACGUAUUACGCCAAACUUCAAUAAAAGUUGAUUUGAUAUUAGAAAAAUAAAAAAUGAGAGAAUUUCAAAAAAUCCUACAAAAGUAUUUGGGUGUUAUACAGAUUUAUCCAGGAAAAAAAUGGUAUGACCGAAUUUGUCCCUUAGAAAAUAAACCUAUUUCUAUUUAUUAUGAUUUACAAAUUGCUGGACACAUCAUUGUCAGAGAAACAUACUCCUCUAAAACUGAUGAUUUUAUUAUUUGGAGAGAAACACUUCAGCAGACUCAACUAUAUUCUAAAAUGUGUGAUUAUGAGGUGUUAUGUCGAUGGCAUAGUUUAACUAUUCUACAGGCACAGUCCGCGAUAUUUCAGAUAUGUAAAUUCAGGAAUGAUGCACAAGUUAUUGAACACUUGAAUAAGGAAAUAUCAGAAAUGGAAAAAACAUUAGAGUUUUUUCAUGCAUUAGAUGAUCUUAUCUUUCAAGGAGUAGAUGAAAAUGAGCACUGAAAAGUACUUAAAAAUCAGAGACUACAUCGAGAUUCUACCUAUCCAGUAUAUCCAAUUGUUAACGAAUGAAUAGGCCUUCAAAAACAUUUACCCCAAACAUUAAAUUUUGGAAUGUCAUAUUGUUGUAUAAACCAAUUGAGUUUAGUUGAGCCAACACAACAUGAAUUCAACAUAGUUCCUGAAACUGACGAAGAAGAUAUGUAAAUUUUUACAUUGUACGUUAUGUUGUAAUUUGGUGUUAUAAAAAUAUUAAACUUUCAUCUCAAAAUAAAAUACGUAAAAUUUCAUCUCACAAAAAAUUACACCAUUCAUUGACAUACAAAUACGUAACUUUUUACAUUGUACGUUAUGUUACAAUUUGAUAUUAUAAAAAAAUGACAAAAAGGUUUGAUGAACCGCUGUACUAUGUCGGUUUUGUAAGUUGGACACUUCUACUUACAUAUUUGUCAUCUAGACCCCUGAACCCACUAAAAAACAACAUUUUAAACACCGUUUCGGUGAGUGUAACACACUCUCGCCACAUCAGCUACCAUGUCAGCUUACACGUCUACCACGUCUGCCACAUCAGCUGUCACAUCAGCCGCCAAGUCAUUUUUAAGUAUUACAUUAAAUUUUAUGUUAUUUUUAAAAUGCUACACAGGAAAUUAAAUAUUAAAAUAAAUUUAAUUAAAUAAUUUUUUUUAUAAAUUGUAGAAAUUCUAAUACACAAAUACAAUAAAUUUUUAAUUUAAAUUAAAUUAAAUUUUCAAUUAUAAAUUUAAAGUUUUAACUAUAAAUUCACAUUACACAAACAUAAUGAAUUUUCAAUUUUUAUUUAAAUAUCUUCAACAAUUUGUAAAAGUUACAAAAUUAAUCCUAAAUAAAAUGAAAAAUUUAAAUUGAUAAAAUGAAUAAAAAAAAUAAAAAAGUAAAUCAAGAACAAUUUUUUUUUUUUGAAAAUGAACAACAAACAACAAUAUCAACCACAACAAAGACCUCUUCAAGGAUAUAUAAUUUUUUUUUUUUACAGUGAACAAUAACAACAACAAUAUCAAUCAACAAAGACCCUCUUUGGGAACAACAACUAUAUUUUCUUUUCUACAUAUAUAUAUAUAUAUAUAUGUUUUUUUUUUACAAUGAACAACAACAACAAUAAUCUCAAUCAGCAAAGACCCUCUUCGGGAACAAUAACAAUAUUUUCUUUUCUAUGAUGAACAACAACAAUAUCAACCAUAGCAAAGUAAAGACCCUCUUCACGGAUAUAUAAUUUUUUUUUUUGACAAUGAACAGCAAUAACAAUAUCAACCAGCAAAAACCCUCUUCAGGAGCAACAACUUUUUUUUUUGACAAUGAACAACAACGACAAUAUCAACCACAACAAAGACAAGAAAUAGCAUAAACUUCCGUUGAAUCUUGUCAAUCUUAACUCCACUAACAUUCACUUUCGUUGAAGUAGCAAUAACAUAAGCUUGAUUAACUCUCCUUAGUGGAACCCAAUUAACCUUAAACGACCCACUAACAAGUAACAGUCCAGAACCUACAAGUUGUUUUAAGAACACAACUCUUUUUUCCUUAAAUCUCCCAGCUAGAAUAAUCAAACCAGUACCAGGUGUAAUACUGACUCUCAAUUUUGUGGGUUUUGGUUUAUGUUCGUUGAUGAGGGAUUGUAAUACCCCGAUCAUUCCUUAAGCCUAAAUCUAUCUUUUUGAAUGGAUAUGUAUGACUUCUAAAGUGAUUGAUGUUUAAACCAUGUUGUAUUUAUCUAAUUCCUACUUUUUUUCAUGUAGAGCAUUGAAUAAGCUUUCCAUCGAUACCAAUUUCAUCAAAAUCUGACAUCGGACGAAGGAGUUAUGGCCAUUUUACUAAAUGGUAUCAGAACGCCCAGGUUUGACGGUCGACCUGGUGGACUGUCGGGUCCUUGGUGGACCGUCAAGUGUCCCGUCAAAAUAAGGCAGUAACUCUCUUUUGGGAUGUCGUGUGACGGUCAAAGUGGUGGACCUUCACAAAGUUGAUGGACCGUCAAGGUGUCCGUCAGACCGAGACAGAAUGUCUCAUUUCUGGCCCUCAGGUGACGGACGACUUGGUGGACCGUCACUUUUCUGAUGGACCGUCAGGUCAGCCAUCACGUCAAGGCAGAACAUUUUAGUUUUGGUGUUCGAUUGACGGACGACUUGGUGGACCGUCAGUCCCUCUGGCGGAUCGUCAGGUCGAUCGUCACAGGCCCCGAUUAGCAAUUUUCAACUCUUUUCAAAAGGGCAUUUUGAUCAUUUCCGCUCCUUUUAAGCCCUCUCUAUAUAUAUAUAUGUAUGUAUAGAAGAGAAGAACGUUUUUCUCUCUUUUCUCUCUAAUCUUCCAAGAAAUAUCUAGAAACCUAGGGUUUCUUCCAAGAUCCAAAGCCACUUUUCUUCCAAAUAAAUUCAAGAAUCCUCCAUAGUGAUUCAAAAACUGAGUUCCCCAAGUCAAAGGCAUCAAGGAUCUUGGCUCAAAAGUGUUAAGGAAAAGUUCCAAACAAGUGUCUACAUCUUCAAAAUCAAAAUCCAAGUUAUGUGAGGUUUGAACAAGAACACUCCUUUCGUUCUUGUGCCCAAAUAUUUACUUUCUAUUAUUGAUUUACAUGAUAUUGCAAGUGGGUUUACACCCAAAUUUCUCUAUUAAUGAUUUAUGAGAUUUGAGUUGAAUAAGUUUGAUAUUUUUGAUUAUUUCACUAUCAUGUUUCUUAAAUUGAGAAUUUAUUCCAUGAGCCGUAUAUUAUCAUUAUGUAUUGAUGAUUUCUAAGCAAUUUAAUUCAAGUUUCAUGUGUUGAAUAUUUUUAUUACGAAUUGAUGAUGUUUGAAUGAUUUGAGACAAGUGUCAUGAGUUAUGCCUUUCCAUGAGAAAUUCGACUAUUGAAUGUAUAUUGAUAUGUGAAAUUGAGAGGCAAGAAUGAGUCUUAUGAUGUUUCCAUGAAGUUUUUGAUAUUGAAAUGAUUUGAUAAACAAAUGUAUUUGAUACCGAGAAAGAUUGUGUUGAGUUGAGUUAGGAAUCCACAAGAUGUUUAUGAUUUACAAAUGAGAUAUAUUUAUGUUUUGGUCUUUAUGAUAGACCAAUGAGUUGAUAUUGAUUGAGGUGGAUUUCCUAAUGCGUUCUAAGCUGAGUCUGGGAGGAGUAUUUAGCACCGAGCGGGAAAUAUGGUAUUUCCCAGGAACUACGUACCACCGUAGGAUUGAUGUUGAUGAUUGUGGACCAAAGAACGAGUAUGAGAUUGUGAUAUUGAGAUUGAGGUUGUACUCCCUGGCAAGAGUACAACACCCCUGCCAAUGUGGGAUUCUCUCCCUAGGAGGGCAAAACGUUGGACUCUAUGCGGCUCACAUGGAGUAGUUAUGUCGGUUAUAAGAAACUCCCAUGUCCAUAAUGAUUUAAGUCUCUUGAGUUACCGGGUCAUUCUAAGUCAUGAGUUAAAGAGUUUGAGUUGAGAUAAAUGAUUUACGAGAUUUAUGAAGCAUGCAUUACUGCUGCUGAUUUAUGAGAAAAAUGUUUCAGAUAAUUCAAGCGAAGAGAAUUAUUAUGGUCAGCAUGCAUAAUUUUCUUAUACAUUUAUGAUAUUAUUUAAAAUGCUGCAUCCACCCCCACAUACUCAGUACAUUCCCAAGUACUGACCCCCAUACUCCUUUGUAUUCUAUAUUUCCUCGUGAUAUAGGUGCAGGUGCUCAGUCUCAGCAGCGACAGUGAUUUUUGAGUACCUUCCUCUACACUUUUGCAGCUGGUCAGUCCUCAUGGUUCGAGGACCUGUGUCUCCAGUUUUGUCUUGUUAAUAGAUGGUUGUUUACUUUCAGUUCAGUACGAGUCAGUUGGGGAUCUGUCCCAAUGGUUCCUCAGUCCUAUGUAGCAGAGCUUUGUCAGACUACAGCGUGUACAGAGAUUUCAGUAUUUUGUUUAUACAGGGCAGUAUUGUUUCAUGUGUUCAGUAUGUUCGUGACAUGGUUAUUCCUCUUUAUCUUAGCAUGAUUUCGCUAUAAUGAGUUCUGAAAGUGAUGACAAGUUUAGAGGGUUAGCUUGAGGCCACGUGUGGUCUUGAGCACCAUGUGACGUCUCGGGAUAGGUUCUUGGGGCGUUACAGGGAUUUUUCCACGUCAUCAGCUGGGUAGAAUUUUGGUGGUUUGAUGCCGGUGGUAAAGGACGGAGCAACGAUGGCGGUGGAUUUUGGGUGGCUGGGGAAUUUGCCGCCCUUUUUCUUCUUGAUAACCCAAAGAUCCUUUUUGUGGUACAUUUUGGAACGGAAGAAUUUACCGAUUCCAUUGAUUAGGUUAGGGUUACGAGGGAAUUUCUUGGCAGCCAUUGCUGUGAAGUGUGCAAAGGGCAUGUUGGAGUGAAAGGGGAACAAAAUGAAAGUGAAAUGCAAAGGGUAAGUUUGAGAAAGUGAAUAAAAAAUCCUCUUUAUUUUUUUCUCAAUAUUAAUAUUAUUUUUAACUUUUUUUAAUUAGUUUAAUAUAAAAUUGACCAAAAAUUGACCCCACUCGCACUUCAGGCGAGUGUAAUCACUCUCCUUAUCCUAAUCAGCAUUUUAAUGCCAUAUAGGCAAAGUCAACGGUCAAAGGGAUUAAAAUAUAGCUUUUUUGUGAGUUCAGGAGUCUAGAUGACAAACAUGUAAGUAGAAGUGUCCAACUUACAAAACCAACAUAGUACAGAGGUCCAGAAGAUCAUUUUGCCAAAAAAUUAAAAUUUCAUCUCAUAAUAAAAUACGUAAAAUUUCAUCUCACAAAAGAAGUGCAAGAUAUCAAAAUAAUUGAUAGUGCACUUUUUUAAUACACUAUCCAUUUACUUUAUGAAUAGUGCACUAAAAAAUGCACUAAACUAUAGAAAAAGGAGAAUAAUGCACAAAAGAAGUGCAGCAUAUAAAAAAUAAUUGAUAAUGUACUUUUUUUAGUGCACUAUUCAUAAAAUAAAUAGAUAGUGCACUUAUUUAGUGCACUAUCCAUAAAAAAAAUGGAUAGUGCCCUAUCCUAUUUUAACGGUGUCAAAAUGGGAAAAGGAUAUUGUGCACUUAUUUUGUGCAAACAACUCAUUUUUGUAACUUUUUAAAUCAGUGGCAUAGAUUGAUUCCUUUUUAAAUAUGAUGGCAUAUUUAGGCUCCGCAUUCACAUUUACUAGAAGACACACUCAUCAAACUACAAACGUUAUCGUUUUAUCUUUGUUUCUCUUUCUCUUUCUUCCUCCUAUUGGUAGAGGUGUGGAUGUUAUAGUUCAUACGGUUAUUUUAUACGGAAAAGGGCUAAAAUGCAAUAUGAAAUGGUGUAAACAUAUCCUUCAUCUCUCUAUUGGGCCUAAAAUAUCCUUUUGUCUACCUAAAAUGCCUUUUUCGUCUAUCUAUUAGGGCUAUUUUGUAUUUUUAUUUAAAAAAAAAUUAUAUAAUACUACAACUUAUAUUUAUUAAACUACAUAAAAUCCCUAUCAUUUUUAUUAAUAUCAACUAAAUAAAUAGUGCACAAUAUCAAUUUUUCGUCAUUCUAAAUUGAUCUGAUAAAUAAAAAAAACCUAAAUAGCCAUUUUAAAAAAUUAUUACAUAUACAGAGUCGUAUUAGUUGGUUGUCGACAUAUAAAAUAUUUAUUUUUAUAACAGAUUCUAAUAUAUAGAAAAAUAGUUAUAUAUUCAAUUUUCAUAUUUCUUAUUUAUUUCCUAUUUUUAUGAAAGCCUUUGUUCAUUCAUUUUUUUAAUAUACUAUAUCAAAAUUCUAUAUUUUUUAUUUUUAUUGCCUGCUUUCACGUUGCCUCCAUAAAAAUAUAUGAUAUAUUUAUAUCAUAAAAAUUUAUGGUAUAUUUAUAUAUUAUACAAAUUAUAUUUAUAUUAUAAAAAUACAUGAUAUAUUUAUACCAUAUAAAUUAUAUUUAUACCAUAAACAUACAUGGUAUUUAUUAUAUUAGAAUUAAAAAUACACAAUAAUGAAAUAAUACUAGAUGAUUAACAUACAUAAAAAUUAAACGAAACAUACACAAGCAAAUAAUGAAGUACUUAAUUUAUUUUAAAAUAUUUAAAUUUUGAAUAUAAGAGAGAGAGAUUUGAAAGCAGGGAUUAUCUUUUCCACUUUUAAUUUGAAUAUUGAAAAUAUGUAUCUUAAAUUAAGGUGAAUUGAUAAUUAGUUAUAACAUUAAAUUAGAAAUUAUAAUUAUCUUUUCUGUUUUUUUUAAAUGGCUAUAUGUAUAAAAAAUUAUUUUAAUAAUAUUGAAAAAAUAUUAUUCUUUAUGUAAUUAAGUUUUAAGGAUGACCUUUUCAUGUAAUUUGCCUAAAUAAAAGGGUAAAAUAGGCCCAAUAGGUAGAUGGAAAGAGCAUUUUAGGCUCAAUAGGUAGGUGAGAAGGGCAUUUUAGGCCCAAUAGGUAGAUAAGAAGGGCAUUUUAGGCUCAAUAGGUAGACAUAGGACAUUUUUACACCGUUUUUCAUAGUUGAAGAGCAUUUUAGGCCCUUUUCUGUAUUUUAUAAAAUUUAGAAAAAAUACAUAAAGUCCCUUUGAUGUUGUUCGACUUUUUAAAAAGGACACCUAAACUGUACUUUCGACCUAUUACCCCACGAAAUAAUUUAAAAGUGAUAUAAAUAUUCAUAUUUCAGCCAACUUCGGAUGCAGAAAAAAAGUGUAAGUCACACACCAAUAAAUACUUGCCACUUGGCACACUUAUUUAAUAUCCUAAUAUUUAUUUUUAUAUUUAUUUCUUUAUACUUCUUUUCCUUUAUCUUUUCUCCUUCUUCUUCUUCAUCAAUCUCCAUUAUACUUCUUCUUCAACCUCGUUCGUGGUUAGCUUUGGCAUAGCUAUCAUCACCAUUGUUACUAUAACUUUACAUCCAUUAUGUCUAUCAUCUAACCAUCCCCAAAUAAAAAUUAAAAUAAAAAAAUCAAAAUCUCCAUAAAAGUAACUAUAAAGUUUGACCACUUAUUAACCGAAAAUAAUUAAUCAAAAUUCUCUAAUAAAUCUGCUCAAUUCAUAAGAAAACACACAUUAAUUACAAAUUAGAGAAGAAAUUUAUCGAACAAAAAUCUUAAAGCAACAAAGAAGAACAGAAAAAAAAUAUAAAGAAAGAAGCAAGAAAAAUUUUAUGGAUCUUCCCAAGGAAGAAGAUG
rnacentral:lncRNA from 1 species